AGUUUUUGUGAGGGUUAAAUAGAAAGAAAAAUGAAAAGCAAAAAAGAGUGACACAAAGUGGUGGACUCUUCUCUUUUAAUUAUUCAUAACUAAAUAAGAAACAAUGGUUUUGGUUUCUCAACAUUUGAGUGCCGCCAUUACUCUACGACCGCCAGAACUCACAGAUGGCGUCGGAAUUCGCUCAAACUCCUUGAGGUUCCUUCCGGCGAGUAAAAAGCCCAUCUCAAUUUCCUUUGCCGCCACGUCACAGGAUGCGAUUCCUUCACAACCUGUAAUCGAGCUCGAAUUCAUAGGGCCGAAGGCAGGAAACGACGGGUCGUAUCCAGUAGAGAGGGCCAAAGAAAUAAGUGGAGAGAAGUUGCUGAGGAACAUCAUGGCGGAUAAUAAGAUUCAGCUUUACGCCACCUAUGGGAAAGUUAUGAACUGUGGUGGUGGUGGAAGCUGUGGAACUUGUAUAGUGGAGAACAAGAAUGAGCUCAAGCGCCAUUUAACCAGGAGCACGAGAUCCCAACUUUUUCCAACACGGAAUAGUCCCUUGGACAUGAAGACAUGAGCAGCUACUUAGAAUUUCAAGGGGCCUUGGCAACAUUCGAAUGAGAUACGGUUGUUCGAUGAGAUUUGUUACCAAGAACACUUGAACUUACAACCUUUGAUGGUGACAGCCCAAAAGGAUGGAUUCUCAAAGCGAAAUGUGAAGUGGAAACCAUGGAAUUGGCUCGCGAGUUUGAGGCUAACAUUUCUUGCCUUAAGAUCUACGAAUUUUUCUGCUUCUUCUAAUACUUCAGGGACUUUUCCAACAACCUAACCUAGAAACACGAAUUAUUGAAACACCACAACGAAGGACGAUGAACGAUGAACAAGCAAGGUCGCUUUGUGAGAAAUGGUAAAGUGCACCAAUGGUGCCGAACCCCACUAUAAGCGGGUUUGGUAUUAAGAAUGACAUGUUGCUUUACAUGGGAAGACUAAUGUUGCCUUGCCUAUUGGGGCCACGCACUUCAACAAAUUGUUGCUUAGUUUCAUUGGGUGAGCGCGCAAAAAGAUGUCGCAAAGUGGGUGCGUGAAUGUGAAAAUGUGCCAACAAAACAAGACAAAGGCUUCUCCUGCUGAGCUACCGCAACUAAUCGCACUUCAAUAACAAUGGCUUUUAUGAGUGGCUGACCAAGUCUGAUGGGAAGGACACUUUUCUCGUUGUGCUUAAUCAGUUGUGUAUGUAAGCUCAUUUCAUUUCUCCCUUUAAAACAUCAUUUUACUGCUAAAAGUGUGGUUGAGAUCUUUCUAAAGCUUCUAUCAUUUUAGAUCAGGAUAGAGUUUUCAUGAGUCAUUUUUCGCCAUGAAUUGUUUAAAUUGCAUGACACCACAUUGAAGCACAGUACAACAUACCAUCCUCAAACUGACGGUCAAUUUGGUUGAGCGUAGCAAUGAAUGUAAGAUUAAGCUGACAAUCGUAGGUAGACGCAAUGGAAGCUCUAUCUGCGCUACUAUGGUCUAUAUGAAGUACUUGCUUGCAUUGGCAAAAUGGCCUACAAGUUAGGCUUACCUAACACUUCUUCCGUCCAUCUGGUGGUUCAUGUUUCACUGCUGCGACGAGCUCAUGGGGCAUCUAAUUCUUCACCAUUGGUGCUGCGACAGUUGAGUCCGGAUUUAGAGCCGACUGUGCAGCCUGAAGAAGUGUUGAGGGGUCCACAAUACCAACUCAGAAGGCCUAGGAGAGGUGGAGGUGCUAAUCAAAAGGAAAGAUUUAGCCCUCUUUGAAGCAUCAAAGAAAAGUUACAAUUACUUGCAGCAACAAUUUCCUCAUUUUCACCUUUUUCAAAAAAAUUCCUCAUUUUCACCUUGAAGACUAGGUGAAGUGUAGUUGACUGGCAGUGGGUGAUAGUAUGUACAUGGAAUGUUGACUUAUCAUAGAACAAUGUAAUCAUCCCAGCAUGCCCUGGAUAUAUUUUGUUAAUCACUCUAGAAUGUCCUACAAUUAGUUUUAUGUAUAUGAGAAAUGUACUAAGCACUAGCUUGUGGAGAGAAACCAGGUCUCUCGAAUUACCUGAUUCUUGAUGGGAAGGAUCUUUUAAAUGAAAGAACCAAUACUGAACUCAAAUAUUUGAAAAA